CUCCUAUAGUCGAACAUAUAAUAACAACAUAUAAGUUGAUUUGUAUUUGUAUGUUUUUCAAUUUAUUUAUCUAAGAUCUAUUAUUUAUAGCUUAUAUAAAAGCACCGCCUUUCGAACCUGACAGCCCGUUCGUGGGAUACGCGCGGGAUUUGAAAUAGGGAGCGGCAACAAUAUAAAUACGUGACAAGGGAUGAAACUCUUAAAGUUUGUCGUAUUAUGAAUGCCCAGACUUGAGUGGACCGAUAAUUAUGCAAUGAGUGUCGUGUCGAAUAACGCCGUCAACAUUUAGGAAUCAAUGAUAUAAACAAGGAAGCAAACUCGAAUACAACUCAAGGUGAGAAGCCAAUUUGUGUCGACC